rnacentral:rRNA from 1 species
AGCGAGUCGCCGGGUCCAUCGGACUCCGGAUCAACGCGCGGAAAAGCGCCUCUGUGAACACCCAAGGUCAGAGCGAGUCCGAGGAGGCGGUGCUUCCCCAACUCGGCGCUCGUGACAGCUACAAGUAUCUCGGAGUCGAAGAGAGAAUCGGCGUGUCGUUCGGCGACGCCUGGGAUCGGGUUAAAGCCAGCAUGACAGAGAAAUUGAGGAAAAUGCUACGGACCGAAAGCACUUUCGGGGAACUACGUGCAGCCAUACGCACUGUAGUGACACCUGUGGCAAAGUACCUCUUCCUUAAUGUCAUUGCGGGCGGUCCAGCUUGGACUAGCCUUAGAGACCAGGCGGCCAAUUACGACAAAUUUGUCCGUAAACUCUUGUGUGAAUCGAAUGGCGAUGAUUGUGGGUGGCGUUUUGCCGCCUGCAGUCGAGCGCGCUUGUAUCUGAAGCCAGCAGACGGGGGACUUGGUUGGGCGUCCAUUGAGGAUGGCCUGAUCGAGUCACUAGUCUACUGUUGGGCGUACAUGCAAUGUACCCCUGGGCUUGGGGUCGCGCGCGAGUUGUUUGGUUCUGCGGGAAGAUCGGGCAUUGCCGAAAGUGUGUCCAAGGGGAUGAGGGUGCUUGUCCUGAAACCCCUGGGACUGCUCUCCGAAGACUCGGACCAGCGAGUGAUGGUUCCUGACUGUCCGGCCCGUGGGUUCUCCAUAGGUGAUAAGUACUAUGGGAACCCAACACUUGGUGCCAGAGCGCUGAUGAAAAUUGUGCGUGAAGAACGCAACAACCAGCGCCUCGCCGAGUGGAAAGGGCUUGAGAUGGCAGGAAGCGUUGCGAACCGACCGGAGCUCGACCAAGCGCACAGUUAUCAUUGGCUCAAAAAGGCCAACGUAGGGAGACGGGAGUUUCGGGAUUGCAUUGCGGCGCAGGAAGGUCAGCUGAAGGCGGUCGAGUUGUUCGAUCCGAAACGACCGGCAAGAGAGAAGGAGUGUCGGAGGUGUCAUGCUGGGAGGGAGACCGAGCAGCACAUCCUGACGGGGUGUCCUUGGUCCCGGACCGGCUUGAUGCUGGAACGACACAACAGGGUGGUUCGUCAGAUCCACACCUAUCUCUGCCGGAAAUUCGAUCUGCCUGUGGCUCACCACACCUUGCCGCUGCACGCAGUCCUGGAAAACGACCGUGCAAAACUCAUUCAUGACGUACCAUUGUUCACGCCGAAUGUCCGAUCGACUCAAGACGAUGAAGGUCUUGUCCAACAUCACGGCCUGCGAAGCAACCGCCCGGAUCUGGUUGUCUUCGACAAGAAGGCCCGAAGCAUCAAUGUUAUCGAAGUGUCUGUGCCAUGGCGUGAGAACCUGGUCACUCAGGAACUCAUCAAGUGGCGCAAAUACGCGAUGAACUCAGAGAUUGAGCCCUUGGAAUUGGCCUCAAAGGAGGUGCCCGGGCCGAAUCUCAGAGCGCAGUUGGGGGAACUGUACGGCGCUGCCUACCCUGGUGGUGUCACGGUGACCCCGAUUGUGAUUGGUGCUCUCGGAGAAGUGUUGCCGAAUGUGAUGGACAGACUGAAGGAGAUAGGUGCCGACGGAAAGCGAAAGGCACCAGAUCUCUUGGAGUCGAUGCAGAGGGCAGCAUUGAUUGGCUCGGGUCGCCUCAUCCGAGCACAUCUCUGCCUUCCGAGGACUGGCGUGUGAACAAUCCGCUGAGCUGCAAAGGAAUCACAAGACUGAAGCUACAGCUGGAAGUCUGUGUGAUGACUUAAAGGGUUACCGUCCUUAGGGUGCUUGCGCCCAAGGCAUUCGUGAGUAGUAGAAGAGGGCAGUGCGAACGGUUUUUGACUUUCGGGAAAAGAACUUUUGCAUUGCGCAAUGGCGACCAUGGUGCCAUUGCUAUUUGGUCCUGGUCCCACUCCUGGGGAGUAGGCGGGUUCGCUUAACCCGUCUGAGAUCCAGACCACCCGUCACUGUUAAGAUUCCGGUGACGGACUCUUCUUAAGUGAUGGGACGCGCACGAAUGGAUCAACGAGAUUCCCACUGUCCCUAUCUACUAUCUAGCGAAACCACAGCCAAGGGAACGGGCUUGGCAAAUUUAGCGGGGAAAGAAGACCCUGUUGAGCUUGACUCUAGUCUGACUUUGUGAAGAAUCAUGAGAGGUGUAGCAUAAGUGGGAGCCGCAAGGCGCCAGUGAAAUACCACUACUUUCAUCGAUUCCUUACUUAAUCGGUAAAACGGGAGUGCGCCCGCAUGGGUGUCCAUUUUGGUGUUAAGGCGGGCCACCCGGUGGCCCGUCGACCCGCGCCGAUGACAGUGUCAGGCGGGGAGUUUGACUGGGGCGGUACAUCUGUCAAAGCGUAACGCAGGUGUCCUAAGGCGAGCUCAGAGAGGACGGAAACCUCUCGUAGAGCAAAAAGGCAAAUGCUUACUUGAUCCUGAUUUUCAGUACGAAUACGGACCGCGAAAGCGUGGCUUAUCGAUCCUUUUGAAUUGUAAAGUUUCCAGCAAGAGGUGUCAGAAAAGUUACCACAGGGAUAACUGGCUUGUGGCGGCCAAGCGUCCAUAGCGACGUCGCUUUUUGAUCCUUCGAUGUCGGCUCUUCCUAUCAUUGCGAAGCAGAAUUCGCCAAGCGUUGGAUUGUUCACCCACCAAUAGGGAACGUGAGCUGGGUUUAGACCGUCGUGAGACAGGUUAGUUUUACCCUACUAAAGACCGGUUGCUAUGAUAGUAAUCCUGCUUAGUACGAGAGGAACCGCAGGUUCAGACAUUUGGUUCAUGUGCUUGGUCGAUAGACCAAUGGUGCGAAGCUACCAUCUGAGGGAUUAUGACUGAACGCCUCUAAGUCAGAAUCCCGCCUAGGCAAGAUAGCAAUACCAUUGCUCCCCGGUGUCGGGAGGCACUCUGUAUGCCCUCUUCUCUGAGGUGCAGCCCAAAUGCCCCAGCAUCUGGCCCGAUGCGAGCGCUUAGUUGUGCUCGCAUUGCCAUAGCCGUAGCACUCGUGUGCCAUGGUGGAACGUCGGGGCGCAAAAUCACUUGUAUACGACUUGACUACUGGUCAGGGGGUUGUUAGCAGUAGAGCAGCUUUUAUACUGCGAUCUGUUGAGACUUAGCCCUUGAUCGGAUGAUUUG